rnacentral:rRNA from 1 species
UACGUAGGCAGCGAGCGUUGUUCGGAGUUACUGGGCGUAAAGGGUGUGUAGGCGGUUCUCUAAGUUUGGUGUGAAAUCUCCCGGCUCAACCGGGAGGGUGCGCCGAAAACUGGAGGGCUAGAGUGCGGGAAGGGAGAGUAGAAUUCCUGGUGUAGCGGUGAAAUGCGUAGAUAUCAGGAGGAACACCGGUGGCGAAGGCGGAUCUCUGGGCCAUUACUGACGCUGGAGGAGCGAAAGCGUGGGGAGCGAACAGG